GAUGAACGCUGGCGGCGUGCCUAAUACAUGCAAGUCGAGCGAACAGAUGAGGAGCUUGCUCCUCUGACGUUAGCGGCGGACGGGUGAGUAACACGUGGAUAACCUACCUAUAAGACUGGGAUAACUUCGGGAAACCGGAGCUAAUACCGGAUAAUAUAUUGAACCGCAUGGUUCAAUAGUGAAAGACGGUUUUGCUGUCACUUAUAGAUGGAUCCGCGCCGCAUUAGCUAGUUGGUAAGGUAACGGCUUACCAAGGCAACGAUGCGUAGCCGACCUGAGAGGGUAAUCGGACACGCUGGAACGGAGACACGGUCCAGACUCCUACGGGAGGCAGCAGUAGGGAAUCUUCCGCAAUGGGCGAAAGCGUGACGGGACAAAGCCGCGUGAGUGAUGAAGGUCUUCGGAUCGUAAAACUCUGUUAUUAGGGGAGAACAAAUGUGUAAGUAACUAUGCACGUCUUGACGGUACCUAAUCAGAAAGCCACGGCUAACUACGUG
rnacentral:rRNA from 1 species